AUUCCAGCUCCAAUAGCGUAUAUUAAAGUUGUUGCAGUUAAAAAGCUCGUAGUUGGAUUUCUGGGAGGGUGCCAAUGUCCGUCGUCGUACGUGUUGCAGCGGCGCCCUUCCAUCCUUCUGUUAACGACUUUGGGCAUUCACUUGCCGGAGUCGGGCUCAGAUAUUUUACCUUGAGAAAAUUAGAGUGUUUCAGGCAGGCUAGGCCGGAAUACAUUAGCAUGGAAUAAUGGAAUAGGACUACGGUCCCUUUGUUGGUUUGAGGGACUGCAGUAAUGAUUGAUAGGGAUAGUUGGGGGUGCUAGUAUUCAGCGGCCAGAGGUGAAAUUCUUGGAUUCGCUGAAGACUAACUUAUGCGAAAGCAUUCACCAAGGAUGUCUUCAUCA
rnacentral:rRNA from 1 species